rnacentral:rRNA from 1 species
GACGAACGCUGGCGGCGUGCUUAACACAUGCAAGUCGAACGGAAAGGCCCUGCUUUUGUGGGGUGCUCGAGUGGCGAACGGGUGAGUAACACGUGAGUAACCUGCCCUUGACUUUGGGAUAACUUCAGGAAACUGGGGCUAAUCCCGGAUAGGAGCUCCUGCUGCAUGGUGGGGGUUGGAAAGUUUCGGCGGUUGGGGAUGGACUCGCGGCGUAUCAGCUUGUUGGUGGGGUAGUGGCUUACCAAGGCUUUGACGGGUAGCCGGCCUGGGAGGGUGACCGGCCACAUGGGGACGGAGAUACGGCACAGACUACAACGGGAGGCAGCAGUGGGGAAGAGUGCACAAGGGGCGGAAGCAUGAUGCAGCAACGCCGCGUGCGGGAUGACGGCCUUCGGGUUGUAAACCGCUUUCGCCUGUGACGAAGCGUGAGUGACGGUAAUGGGUAAAGAAGCACCGGCUAACUACGUG